AUUGAACGCUGGCGGCAGGCCUAACACAUGCAAGUCGAACGGAUGAGCGGAGCUUGCUCCAUGAUUCAGCGGCGGACGGGUGAGUAAUGCCUAGGAAUCUGCCUGGUAGUGGGGGACAACGUUUCGAAAGGAACGCUAAUACCGCAUACGUCCUACGGGAGAAAGUGGGGGAUCUUCGGACCUCACGCUAUCAGAUGAGCCUAGGUCGGAUUAGCUAGUUGGUGAGGUAAAGGCUCACCAAGGCGACGAUCCGUAACUGGUCUGAGAGGAUGAUCAGUCACACUGGAACUGAGACACGGUCCAGACUCCUACGGGAGGCAGCAGUGGGGAAUAUUGGACAAUGGGCGAAAGCCUGAUCCAGCCAUGCCGCGUGUGUGAAGAAGGUCUUCGGAUUGUAAAGCACUUUAAGUUGGGAGGAAGGGCAGUAAGUUAAUACCUUGCUGUUUUGACGUUACCAACAGAAUAAGCACCGGCUAACUUCGUGCCAGCCGCCGCCGUAAAAC
rnacentral:rRNA from 1 species